rnacentral:lncRNA from 10 species
UUUCCGAUUCUUUUGGAGUAGACUAAGGUGACUUAAGUAGGAAAAGAACGCAUAGCCAGUAACUCUCCCAACAGAACUGGAUUCGUGCCUGGGGUGAUUCAGGAUGUCCAGUUAAGCUGGGAAAUACUGAUUCCACUGAUCCCCUUCAUUCACUCAGAGCAGACCGAAGACUGUGAGACUUCCUCCCCACAGUGAGCUAAAAGGACGCUUUUGUCAGAGUGGGGAAAUAAAAGGGCUUUAUGGGAAGGAAGAUAAGAACAGAUGAGUCAGAGGUUUCUGCUUAAUGCUCACUCUUCAAUUCUUUCCCGAGCAAAACCAAGAAUCUUCUUGGGCUAAGCCCCAAUUUGGGGUUCACCUGCCUUGCAGCAACAUGGCACCAAACAUGCGGCAGAAGAGAGAAAACGACAGCAUGAGAGACGGAGAAAGAAAUGGCCAGUUGGCAAGGUGGUAAUGAGAGACAGCAGUUGGCAAGACAGUGAGAGACAGCAAGAGAUGGUGGUACAGCCAAGCAGACAGGCAAGUAAGUGGCCAUACUGCUACUGCCUCAUGUAGGAUCCGGCAGGCUGGUGGGUUAUCAGUCCUCACGUGGGACCCUCCCACCAUGGCAGCUGAGCACAUCCAAGCUGGGGGAUCCUGAAGAGACCUUCACCUGGGUGCCACGUGGAAGAUUGGCCAGCACCAUUUUGACUCCUGUGGAUGGUUCCAGGUAAAGACAAUCCUUGCACAAGGCUUCCAACUCGACCCGCCUACUGACCUGGAGAAUGAAAGUGUCCUGCCUCGGGGCCCCUCAGAUCAGGAAACCCUGGAACAGUGUCUAUAAGUCAUGAAAAACAGAGCAAUUGAAAUGGAAUCUCACUUGGGACCCCAGUCACUGCUCCAGACUGACCAGUCAGUGGACAAGGCUUCUCGCAUUGCUCACCAGCACCCAAACUGCACCUGGUCACCUGUCUACAUUCAGAUUUAGAUGAAAGCCACACCAUGGAGGCAGCCAGAGGCCCAUGGGAGAUGUCUGGAUUCGCAGAGGAAUAGCUCCAUGUGAUGCAAACCUUGACUAAUGGGAACAGGAAAAGGGAGGAAACCAGGAAGAUAAAUCUCCCUCCCUUCUCAUUGCUCCUUGCAACCCUUCCCACUUGAAGCAUGACCACAUUUAAUGAACAACCUGCUGUGUCUCUUGGAAGCUUGCUGCAAGGCAGCAAUCAGCACAAUAACAUUGUAUUGUAUCUUCCUCUGCUUCACUUCUCUUCCUCCCUCACCCUCACUGCCCUGAGCUGGCACAUCCCAAAGAAAGCAUUACCACAUUAAUCCUUGUCUCAGACUCUGCUUUCAAGAGGAUCUAGGUGAAGGAAAUUCCUAUUACUCCACCUCUUCAUCACCUCUUCAAAUGUCAGACUUUAAAAAUGGUGUCAUUUUGUUGAGUGUAUCUCAUUGUGGUUUUAAUUUGCAUUUUCCUGAUUAUGAAUGGGGUUGGCUAACUUUUCCUAUGUUUAUUGGAUUUCUUCAUUUUUGAAGUGCUUGUUUAAGUUUUCUACUAAUUUUUCUAUUGGGUUGUCUUUUUUUUUUCUUUCUUUCUUUUUAAGACAGAAUCUUGCUCUGUUGCCCUGGCUAGAGUGCAGUGAUGUAAUAAUAGCUCACUGAAACCUCGAACUCCUGGGCUCAAGCAAUUAUCCCAUCUCGGCCUCCCAAGUAGCUGGAACUACAGGUGUGCACCACUACCACCAUGC